rnacentral:rRNA from 1 species
CGUCCAGCUAGUUGUCGGCGUCGGCAGUAGUAGGGAGGGUGCAAGCGGUAGCCGGAAUUACUGGGCGAAAAGCGGUGGCAGGCGGGUGCGGAAGUCGGUCGUGAAAUCCCCGGGCUUAACCUGGGAAUGGCGAUGGAGACUGCGAGGCUAGAGUUUGGCAGAGGGGGGUAGAAUUCCACGUGUAGCAGUGAAAUGCGUAGAGAUGUGGAGGAACACCGAUGGCGAAGGCAGCCCCCUGGGUCAAAACUGACGCUCAUGCACGAAAGCGUGGGGAGCAAACAGGAUUAGAUACCCUAGAGUC